UACGUAGGGGGCGAGCGUUGUCCGGAAUCAUUGGGCGUAAAGAGCUCGUAGGCGGUUCAGUAAGUCGGCUGUGAAAUUCCGAGGCUCAACCUCGGAACUGCAGUCGAUACUAUUGUGACUAGAGUCCGGUAGAGGAGAAUGGAAUUCCCGGUGUAGCGGUGAAAUGCGCAGAUAUCGGGAGGAACACCAGUAGCGAAGGCGGUUCUCUGGGCCGGUACUGACGCUGAGG
rnacentral:rRNA from 1 species